rnacentral:rRNA from 1 species
UACGUAGGGUGCAAGCGUUAAUCGGAAUUACUGGGCGUAAAGCGUGCGCAGGCGGUUUUGUAAGUCUGUCGUGAAAGCCCCGGGCUCAACCUGGGGAAUUGCGAUGGAGACUGCAAGGCUUGAAUCUGGCAGAGGGGGGGUAGAAUUCCACGUGUAGCAGUGAAAUGCGUAGAGAUGUGGAGGAACACCGAUGGCGAAGGCAGCCCCCUGGGUCAAGAUUGACGCUCAUGCACGAAAGCGUGGGGAGCAAACAGG